rnacentral:ribozyme from 1 species
AGUCGUCAGAGCGACUAUAAACAGACUUUAGGCGCUGAGCGUUGACCGUUACAAAUGGCGGUCAGGUAGUA